ACGAACGCUGGCGGCGUGCUUCACCCCUGCCAGUCGAACGGAAAGGCCCUGCUUUUGUGGGGUGCUCGAGUGGCGAACGGGUGAGUAACACGUGGGUAACCUGCCCUUGACUUUGGGAUAACUUCAGGAAACUGGGGCUAAUACCGGAUAGGAGCUCCUGCUGCAUGGUGGGGGUUGGAAAGUUUCGGCGGUUGGGGAUGGACUCGCGGCUUAUCAGCUUGUUGGUGGGGUAGUGGCUUACCAAGGCUUUGACGGGUAGCCGGCCUGAGAGGGUGACCGGCCACAUUGGGACUGAGAUACGGCCCAGACUCCUACGGGAGGCAGCAGUGGGGAAUAUUGCACAAUGGGCGGAAGCCUGAGGCAGCAACGCCGCGUGCGGGAUGACGGCCUUCGGGUUGUAAACCGCUUUCGCCUGUGACGAAGCGUGAGUGACGGUAAUGGGUAAAGAAGCACCGGCUAACUACGUG
rnacentral:rRNA from 1 species